rnacentral:rRNA from 1 species
GAUCCUGGCUCAGGAUGAACGCUAGCGGCAGGCUUAACACAUGCAAGUCGAGGGGCAGCAUAAUGGAUAGCAAUAUCUAUGGUGGCGACCGGCGCACGGGUGCGUAACGCGUAUGCAACCUACCUUUAACAGGGGGAUAACACUGAGAAAUUGGUACUAAUACCCCAUAACAUCAUGAGAGGCAUCUUUUAUGGUUGAAAAUUCCGAUGGUUANAGAUGGGCAUGCGUUGUA